CGGCGGGGUUUGCGCUGCCAAAAGCCAUCUGCUGCCGCAGCCCGCCACGGGCUGCCACGGCGGGCUCCCGAACGAGCGCCCGAGCGCGCAGGUUUGAACACAUCGCUCUCUCCCGGCUUGCUCCCCCCUUGGCCGGGGUGUGCUCAAAGGAGUGCUCUGGGCAACUCGCACUUCCCGAUCGUUUCCUACAGCCACCGUUUUAUUCAUGUGCAAAGCCCAUUCCGUAACAGCAGAGAAAGUGCAGCUCAUGCAUAAAGCACCAGCUGGCUCAGGCCACAGCGGCAGUAACAAUGCAGGAACCCCAGCCCCCUUCCUCGGCAGCAAAAGUCACGCAAAGUGUUCCCGGACCGUAGCACCAAACUCUCGGAACCAGACUCAGGAUUUGGGCGAGCGCGGGCCUCCUCUGCGGUUCCUCCUUCCCCUGGGCUCGGGAACCUAAAACUUAGGUCUGCUCAGGUACUGACCCUAUUUGCAGAGGUUUAAUCAAGUUACAGAGAAAUUGGUAAGGCAGUUGCACAGCUGGGACAGUGUCGAGCCAAUGUUCUGAACCGACUUGUCACCACUAUACACACUUAUUGUGCAUAUAGAGAGAUGUGUAUGUGUAUGUAUGUCACACGCAUACAAACACAGAUACCCAAACGCGCUCCCGGCACCGCCAAGUACCGCUUUGACACACGGACUGCGGGGCAGAGUUUCUGCCGAUUUGUGGGGGGCGCGAUCUUUCUCAUUAACAGAAGCCUUGGAAAUUCAAGUCCCCCGCAUCAGCAUCCCCGUCCACGCCGUUUCUCCGAAAAGAUGUUAUGGAAAAUGCCUCCCCCCUCCGCCCCCCCGCUCCAGCCGCCCGCCCCCAGACUACUCCGGGGGUUUAAUUUGGGGUGCCUGCGGGGGAGCCGGUGUGUGUCCCGGCGGCACCGCUCCGCGGCGGGCGGUAGUGCGCUCCCCAAACCCCGGCAAGUACCGCUGCCCUCCCUCCGCCUCGCCCGGGAACUUGGUGCGCCGCUCGCCAAAGCGCAGCGCCCGCUCAUGCAACACGCCGCGACAACAGCACACACCGACAGCACAGAUAAAACACCUCGGACGACACAAAACACGAGUCACCUUGUUGCAAUAGUAGGGGUCCAGGCAGGGGGAAGGUCCCAAACAAGGCGUAUCAGGAGCGGCUGCAGGCUGAGGAGGUGGCGAAUAAAAUCUUACGUCCAUUUCACUAAAACAUCAAGCAAACUCCUUUCCUUUUCUUUGGGUCGUUAAUGUUGGUGCAAAAAAGGGGGGAGCGUGAGUGUAUGUGUGUGUGAGGGAAGGGGGGGAUACACAAGACUGAGAAGGAUAAAAAAGAGGUGCCUGACUUCAGUAGUCAAACACCUUCCCUGCCUCACAUCCGUUUGUGGUUUGUAAAGAGAGAGAGAGGAGAGGAAAAAAAAAAUCUCUUCCAAAAAAGCACCGGUCUGCAGAUGUCUGCGAGAGAACCCACGAACCCUCCUUCUUCUACGGCAGGGCAGUUCCUACCUAGAUGGGCCCAUGAAACCUAUGGUACUGGAGAUGAAGUGAUGCCUCUGAGUUAUUCGGCAUACUUCUGGAAAAACCCACUAAGCCAGCUGCGGCAGGUCUGCCCGUGCUGUGGGCAGCUGAAUGUUAGAGCCAGUCGCGGAUCCGCCAGUGACAACGAAGAGCUCAGUGCUGCAUGGGCUGAAGCCAGCAUGAAACAGAAAAAAACGAAGCCAAACCCUCAUUACGUUCACUUCUGUGGCCUUACAUGAGUUUGCCAUAAUACCUUCUCACCCUGCAUAGCAUUUCUCUAUCAAGCAGUCUCCUGAAACAUAAAUUCUUUGCUUGUCCCCAUGAUAUAAGAUUUUACUUUAUUUAGAAUGUUUGACUCUAUUUGCAGAGGCGGGGUAAAAAAGCAUUUUAUUUGUGCUACGAAAUGAGAGAGUGGAGCAAGCUUCUGCAAGCAGGCUGCUUUGUUGAGUCAAAUUUAUACUCUCAUUUUGAGUGUGGAGCUUAUACCAUUCUUCACUUCACAGGAAAAGAUAUGCUUUACGCUAAUGCAUAGUAAUCUCUGUACAUUCCCAACUCACUUUCUCUGCUUUCAACCACACCCUAGCGGGAAAUUUCUCUGAGAAAUUAACAUGGGAAUUGGCUCUUAACUGCAUUUUCAAAUAUAUUUAUCAGUUAAAUUUUUUUUGUACUGGUAUGACAAAGAAAUUAUACUAAUAAUAAUAAUAAUAAUAGAUCUGUGAUAACAGAUAAAACCCAGACACUGAAAACUCCUACAUGUGGACCGUUUACUUUCCUAGUACGUUUUGAACAUUAAUUAAGUUAAAUGACUGUUAUUUUCAAAACACAUUUUAAAUUGGAAAAGUGAUGAGUGAAGAAAAUAAAAAUAAGGCAUUGUGUUUAAAAAUCUAAAAGGUGGUGUGUUGUUUUCACCAAAUAUUAACUAUUAAGAGUGAAGUUGGUUAUAUAGAGUCUUGCAGUAUUUUUAUGUUUUUGUGAUCAGUAUAGUAGAGUGGUUGUAUAUAAUAGAUAAUGCCAGCUAUUUCGGUAUGGGUGUCUUACAGAAGCUAAAUAAAUAAAGAGUGACUUAGCUUCUAUUUACCUUGCAGCAGGUGAACAAAUAACGUGACAGUGAAAUAAAUUAUUUUUCCUGCCAGCUAA